UUUGGUUAAGUUAGAAAGGGCGCACGGUGGAUGCCUUGACACUAGGAGUCGAUGAAGGACGGGACUAACGCCGAUAUGCUUCGGGGAGCUGUAAGUAAGCUUUGAUCCGAAGAUUUCCGAAUGGGGAAA
rnacentral:rRNA from 1 species